AACGCUAGCUACAGGCUUAACACAUGCAAGUCGAGGGGCAGCAUGGUCUUAGCUUGCUAAGACUGAUGGCGACCGGCGCACGGGUGAGUAACACGUAUCCAACCUGCCGUCUACUCUUGGACAGCCUUCUGAAAGGAAGAUUAAUACAAGAUGGCAUCAUGAGUCCACAUGUUCACAUGAUUAAAGGUAUUCCGGUAGACGAUGGGGGUGCGUUCCAUUAGAUAGUAGGCGGGGUAACGGCCCACCUAGUCUUCGAUGGAUAGGGGUUCUGAGAGGAAGGUCCCCCACAUUGGAACUGAGACACGGUCCAAACUCCUACGGGAGGCAGCAGUGAGGAAUAUUGGUCAAUGGGCGAGAGCCUGAACCAGCCAAGUAGCGUGAAGGAUGACUGCCCUAUGGGUUGUAAACUUCUUUUAUAAAGGAAUAAAGUCGGGUAUGCAUACCCGUUUGCAUGUACUUUAUGAAUAAGGAUCGGCUAACUCCGUGCCAGCAGCCGCGGUAAUACGGAGGAUCCGAGCGUUAUCCGGAUUUAUUGGGUUUAAAGGGAGCGUAGAUGGAUGUUUAAGUCAGUUGUGAAAGUUUGCGGCUCAACCGUAAAAUUGCAGUUGAUACUGGAUAUCUUGAGUGCAGUUGAGGCAGGCGGAAUUCGUGGUGUAGCGGUGAAAUGCUUAGAUAUCACGAAGAACUCCGAUUG
rnacentral:rRNA from 1 species